rnacentral:rRNA from 1 species
AUGAUUUUUUGCUUGAUAAUGAUUUGCCAGUCUAACACCAUGCUCAGCAUCAUGUCGCCUUUGAGUACGCCGGAGGAACAGGCACCGAGUUCGCCUUUGAGUACGCCGGAGGAACCGGCACUGUGUUCGCCGGAAUUCUUGGUCCAGAAAAGCACUGUGAGUCCAACGGUGGCUACAACAGAGGUCCCAAAGACGUCUGAUAGAACUCAGGUGGAGGCCAAGGAGAUUCGGCUCUCGGACAUGCCACCAGUAACACUUGAUGAUAGCAACAUGCACACUAAAACAGAUGACACCUCUGAAAUGAACAUUCCAGAGGAUUUCGAUAACCGACCUUCAAAAAAAGCAAAAAAUUCUGAAUCAGGUGUUUUGGAGCCAUCACCAAUGUCAUUCAUGGCGUACAAGGACGAUUUGGAGUGGUCCCUUAGGGUACCGGCGACGGGGUUGUGGAGCAGUCGACGGGCUGUGACACGUGAAUUGAUACCAGGGUCACCAGCGUGCACCCGCGGCAAAGAAAGCGGCCAACAGUGGUCUCAACUAUGGCAAUCAGGAUUUAGGAGAUCGGCUUGGUGA